rnacentral:rRNA from 1 species
AUCUGAGAUGGAGCAAAGAUUUUAUCGCUAUGGGAUGGGGAUGCGUCUGAUUAGGUUGUUGGCGGGGUAACGGCCCACCAAGCCGUCGAUCAGUAGGGGUUCUGAGAGGAAGGUCCCCCACACUGGUACUGAGACACGGACCAGACUCCUACGGGAGGCAGCAGUGAGGAAUAUUGGUCAAUGGGCGCAAGCCUGAACCAGCCAAGUAGCGUGCAGGAUGACUGCCCUAUGGGUUGUAAACUGCUUUUGUACGGGGGUAAAGUGUGUCACUUGUGGCAUAUUGCAAGUACCGUACGAAUAAUGACCGGCUAAUUCUGUGCC